rnacentral:rRNA from 1 species
UACGUAGGGUGCGAGCGUUGUCCGGAAUUACUGGGCGUAAAGAGCUCGUAGGUGGUUUGUCGCGUUGUCCGUGAAAACUCACAGCUUAACUGUGGGCGUGCGGGCGAUACGGGCAGACUGGAGUACUGCAGGGGAGACUGGAAUUCCUGGUGUAGCGGUGGAAUGCGCAGAUAUCAGGAGGAACACCGGUGGCGAAGGCGGGUCUCUGGGCAGUAACUGACGCUGAGGCACGAAAGCUAGGGGAGCAAACAGG